CAAUUGCGCUCCUCUACUUGCAGAUUUGUUUUUGUAUUCCUAUGAAGCAGAAUUUAUCCAAGGGUUUGUACAGAAAGGAGAAAAGACAUUAGCCCAGUCUUUUAAUGUCAUCUUUCGGUGUAUUGAUGGUGUACUGUCUCCUAAUACUAAUAGAUUCAGUGAUCACUUACAUUUAAUAUAUCCAAGUAAACUUGAAAUUAAAGACACUAACGACA
rnacentral:lncRNA from 1 species